ensembl:snoRNA
AUCUUUGGGAUAGGAGAAGUCGUUACAAAGCCUUCCUACCUUGGCCUCCAAUGAGAUCCGGAGCCUAAAGCCAGCGGAGCCUCAGCUCACCUCCCGCCUGCAGUGCGCGCAGGUGAAACCCAGGCCCGGACAGGC